AUGGCGCGCCCCCUUAUCCCAGGUGUUAUACCUUCAAGGCAUAUUAACACUCGUGCUCUCUUCAGGACAAAGAGACCUCGCCGGACUAUAUCCGGAGAGGCUGCCAAUCGCGCCUCCACCAGCCAGGCUCCAAAGCCUGGUCCGGAGGCGGAGGCGAACACAAGGCGCGCACCGGACGCUCCUCCGACGGAGGAUGUGGACAGAUUGUCUGCCACCAACUCUGAGAUGGAGAGUGCCAUGAACCACAGGCGUCGCCGGACAAUUCUUCGCGACGCUUGUUUCUCCCAAGAGGCAUUAGAUGCCUUCAAUUUGGGAGAUGCGUACCUCCGUGCCGCUCAAAAUGGUCUAGCCAGAGCCACGGAGCAAUAUGUAAAAGACAUACGAGUAAGAAAAUUUUGGUAA
rnacentral:rRNA from 1 species